GCAAAGUUUUCUUUCAUGGACACUAUUGAGUUAAGUUAUUACCACGUAUUGUGGCUUCAGGGGUCCACCAACAUGAACCUUCAUUUUUCUCCUUUCCUGAGUCUUCUUUGUCUUCUUGGAGCUCCCAGCUAUGGAAAUGGCUGAGCCAUCUUGGAUCCACCGCAUCUGAGGAUCACCCCCAAGCUCCCCCUCGGUUUUCAACCUCCUGGUCCUUACCUGCACGCACCUCAUGGCUGGGACGGCCCUUGGUUUGGAUCCCCGUGUGCCUCGUCGAUCUCCCAUGCUGGUCAAUGGGAGCAGGGCCCUAAUAGCAGCUGCGUGAUGGAGGAUGCCGUCGAAGUCGACGGUUCCUUUCCAGUCUGCGUCCAUGGAGGGGCUGAAGCAGUGGAUCUCGUUCCCCUUAGCUCCUGCGCGAUUUUGGGAUCUUGGGGGUGUUGUCCGUCCCCAAGCACCGAGCCGUAGGCGUCAAUGCUGUCCCCAAGCAAGGCACUCCGACGCAUCGUCUUCAUCCUCAAUAGCGGCAGCCCGGCUUCGGCAUUGCAUUCUUCCACCUACAGGCCGCGUCGAGGAGCCUGUUUGUCAGGUCCAACAUCCUCAUCGAGGAGGCCUGCUUCGUUGCGAAUGGAGAAGUCGGUUUUCAGUCCCUCAUGGAGGCCAUGCAGUUCAUGGUGUACAUCUGCGUCCAGGUCGGCACUUUGUGGAUAGAGCUUCAAAAUUCAGGACAUCUCAAAGGAGAACCGCUAGGGUUCUCUCGAGGAAGUUUGGGUGCGUCGGUGGAGCAGGAAUUCCUGAGCGAAUCUUGAAGGAGAUCUUUCUUUCCAGUAAAAUAUCUGCACGGAAGAUAGCUCCCUAUGUAUUUGAUACAACGGAUGUAAAUCUUUUGUUUAUGUAGAUGUCCAUCUGUAUUGUAAUCUAGUGGUAAUGAAACAAUAGUUUCUUCUUGGAUGCAUGUACUGCUUUCAUGUAAGAUUUAACAUCAGAUUGAAAAGAAAGAAAACAUGGUGCUUCAUAAA